AUAUUGUAUAUGCCCUAUUAUUGCCCUGCUUCCAGCUCUGAACACGCCCAUUGCACUCAGCUAUAAGUUAUUGGUUGUUGUUGAGUUACGUUUUUAUGUGUUAAUUCAUGGUAAUUGCAAUGUAUUUUGUGUUGAUAUUUUUUUUUGCUAUUUUUCUGGGCUUUGUCCCCAUGUAAGCCGCCCCGAGUCCCCUCGGGGAGGUGGGCCGAGACAUAAUAGAGACAUUCUAUCUGUCCAUUCCAUAAUAGUCCCAUUGUUGUUGUCUUGUCAUUUUAUACCGCACUUUACUGUCCAUUCAACUGUGAAAUUUCCUUUCCCCAUUUCGUAACACUCUGCACUUUGCCUGGGAUCUACGACUUAGUCUCCUUUUUUUAAUACUGUAUCCUGCUUGUUGAUUUUAAUGAUUGUUUUUAUUGAUGUUGAUGUUUUUUACUGGGAUAAUUGUUUUAUUGCUUUGUUACUGUUAUUUGUUUGUUUUAUUGGGCCAGGCCCCAUGUAAGCCGCCCCGAGUCCCUUCGGGGAGAUGGGGCGGGGUUUAAAAAUAAAGUUGUUAUUAUUAUUAUUGUUGUUGUUAUUAUUAUUAUUAUUAUUAUUAUUAUUAUUAUUUAUUAUAAAGUUAUUAUUUAUAUUUCAAAAUGUCUUGAGACCAGAGCAUUAAAAGUUGCUUUAUUCAGUGCGAUUCUGGAAGCUGUUUUCUACAAACAUGACAUUUUCAGCUACAGACUGAGAUACAUCAAAUAUGGUUAUGAUUAGGAGAGGGAAGAAAGCAAAACUAACAUGUUGAUCACUUCCCCUUCCAUCCAAUAGGACUAUACCUGACUUAACUUUGUUAAGUGAAGUUCUCAGGUUAUCCAAGAACGUUUUACUGCAAGACCCAUGUCAGAUGGCAUCUCAGUUGAUAGGUCGUCUUCAUCAGAUUGCGGCAGCAGAUAAGCCAGUGGCUCCAGGGGAUCCCAAAAAAUACCUCUAUCUGCCAGCUCUUUUGUCCCAGUGUGAGAAAUCUUCCAUUCCUGUUCUUGUUCCUUCAACAACUUGCCUUAUAGCUCCUGGUGGACUACCAUGUGACUUUCUGAAAGGUCAUUUGGACAGAAUUACAGCCAUUGGACAGACCCAGGAGGAACACAUUGUUGCAACAGUUUCCAAUGAUGGCACUUUGAAACUGUGGGACCUGAGAGUUGGUAAAGCCAUCUUCACUCUGCAUGCAAUUGGGAAGAAUAUCAGCGCUAUUGCUGUAUGUUUGGAGAACAGGUUGGUGGCUGUGUCUGACAAGACCAGCCUAAAAAUCUGGGACCUUUCCUUGGAAAAAGUGAUAUAUGCGGCUGGAGAGUUUUUGGAUACUCCUAUACUAACUUCUGCAAUGAACGGACAACUCUUGCUGGUUUUUUUUAAUGGCAACCACAUGGUUCAGGUUUUUGAUCUCGCUCGCUCGUGCCAAUUGCUCCAUGAAGCAACCCUUUCUACUGAAGAAGUGCCCAUCCACAAGGACCGUUCUAUACUUGUAUCAAAGAAUUCAGUGAAAGAUUAUGUUUUGUGUGUCUAUAGAAGUGGAAGUGAAGCAAUGGUCUUUAGUGGCAAGGCAGGAAAAGUAGUUGCGAAACUGAAAAGCCAAGAACCAAUAGCAGCUGCUGAGGAUGUGGCUGUAACCAAGGAAUAUUUUCUGGUGAUUUUCAGAUGUCCCUUCAUGAGACAACGUGAGAUUGUGCAUAUCGAACUCUACCAUGUCCACAACUUUUCCUAUGCUCACAGUCUGAAAGGAUGCUGCCAUGAUUAUAUUCAUACUUUUGCUGUAAACCAUUUGGGGUCUCACCUGGUGGCAUUCAGUCCCAUACCAAACACUAAUUCCACUGAGAUAGUGUCAUGGAAUCUAGAGUCUGAAGAUCACAAACAUUUGGCUAAAUUUCCUUCAGUCCCAAUUGAUGGUGUAUGCACUGAUCUUCGAUACUGCUUAGCAUUCUGUGAUGGAGAUAACUACCUUCGAUCCUGGAACUUGGCUUCCAAGAUCAAUGACCAGUCUUUGACUGUCACUGCAAGCAAAGCAAAGCAAACAAAUGGUAUUCAGAAUAUUGUGACAUCAGAGAACUAUCCCAGAUAUGCUGUCUGUCGAAAUACAAGGAGCCCAGGAGUCAUAACAGUUUGGAACAUUGUGAAAUCAAAGUGUAAACACAAUGCUGUGAGAGUGGAACGAGGACUGGUCGAAAACACGGAUGUAGUGCUGGUUAAAGACAUGAAACUAUAUGUUCUGACAGACAAAGGAAUUGCUCCCUUUGGGGAUCCUCCCAGGCCCAUUUUCCAGACCCUUUUAAUUUAUGAUCUUCUGAAAAAGAAGUACCUAAAGAAACAGACUGGUCUUUACAUAAUUCCCUGUCCAUAUAAUGAGUACAGGAUUCUUGAAGGAGGCCUUCUACUUGGUCUCUCAGAGAACAGAGACCAUUUUAUCACAUGGAAUUUGGAAACAGGAUUGAUUACGAAUCGGAUAAGGCCUCAAUACCAAAACAACUUUGCCUUGCAAGCUCCUCAUCCCAACCAUUCCUUGCCCAGGGAAAAUGCAAAACCAAACAAAGGAGGAUUGUGUAAAGAAAUAACAGCAUUAUGGCAUCCUUGGGAAAGGCGAAAUGAAACAAGGACUGCACAGAAAAGGAGGAGGGAGAAGGCAGGAAAACUGGAGGUGGAAAUGUUACAACAACUAGCCAAGGAGAAGAGUAAUGCUAUUGAUCAGUACCUCCUGAGUGGAGAUGAAAAGGUAGCAGUGUGCUCCUAUUAUGCACAUCACCUGUCUGUGUUCAGCCUGGAAACGAUGUGCCAUGUCCGCACUCUUGAGAGCAGAGAAUCUAUGCUGUUCUUACACAAUGCAGCCUUGACCUUUGACGGCCAUUACCUAGUGCUCUCUAAUUAUAGCGAGGAGGAGAAAAUCAGCUAUGUAACCCUAUGGAAUUUAGCCACAGGAAAGGUCAGGAAAAGAUUAAAAAAUGAGCCAAAUGUUUGCUGUACAGCCAUAACUGAUGAUGGUAGCAGAAUAAUUUUUGGUGUGAUGUUGGAAAACAAGAUAAAGCUUUGGGAUCCAUUUAAACACAGACACAAGUUAUUUCAAGGUUAUGAAGGCCUUCAUCUGAAUGUGAACAGCAAAUUACAGAUAUUAGAUAACGCAAAAGCUGUCCUCCUUGCAGGUGAGGUCAGUCUAUGGGACUUGGAGCGUGGCACAGUUAUAUCCAUCUUCACACCAGAUAGCAACAUCUCUUGUCUGACUCUUGCCUUGGAUAGAAAAGCAAUUCUUUUAGGCUUGACUGAUAGCACUACUCUUAUCACCUUGAAAAUGCUGAGCCUCAACACUGCUGCAAGUUUGACAGGAACAGAUUUGUUUGGAGAAGAAUCGUCAAGCAGUGAAGAGGAGUCUGAAGUCAUGUAA
rnacentral:lncRNA from 1 species